UCCCUGGUGGUCCAGUGGUUAGGGCUCUGCACUGUCAUUGCCGAGGGCCCGGGUUUGAUCCCAGGUUGGGGAA